rnacentral:rRNA from 1 species
UACGUAGGUGGCAAGCGUUGUCCGGAUUUAUUGGGUUUAAAGGGUGCGUAGGCGGCCCUGUAAGUCAGUGGUGAAAUACUCCAGCUUAACUGGAGGGGUGCCAUUGAUACUGCAGGGCUUGAGUGGAGUCGAAGUAGGCGGGAAUUGACGGUGUAGCGGUGAAAUGCUUAGAUAUCGUCAAGAACACCGAUAGUGAAGACAGCUUACUAGGCUUCUACUGACGCUGAGGCACGAAAGUGUGGGGAUCAAACAGG